CCUACGGGAGGCAGCAGUGGGGAAUAUUGGGCAAUGGAGGAAACUCUGACCCAGCAACGCCGCGUGAAUGAUGAAGGUCUUCGGAUUGUAAAGUUCUUUUCUUAGGGAAGAAGAAAGUGACGGUACCUUAGGAAUAAGCCUCGGUUAACUACGUGCCAGCAGCCGCGGUAAUACGUAGGAGGCAAGCGUUAUCCGGAAUGACUGGGUGUAAAGGGUUCGUAGGUGGGUUGACAAGUUGGGAGGGUAACUCCGAGGCUUAACCGCGGCACUACUGCCAAAACUGCUGGACUCGAGUGCAGGAGGGGCAAAUGGAAUUCCUGGUGUAGCGGUGGAAUGCGUAGAUAUUAGGAGGAACACCAGUGGCGAAGGCGGUUUGCUGGACUGUAACUGACACUGAGGCACGAAAGCGUGGGGAGCGAACAGGAUUAGAUACCCGUGUAGUC
rnacentral:rRNA from 1 species